UAGGGAAUCUUCCGCAAUGGGCGAAAGCCUGACGGAGCAACGCCGCGUGAGUGAAGAAGGAUUUCGGUUCGUAAAGCUCUGUUGUUAGGGAAGAAUGAUUGUGUAGUAACUAUACACAGUAGAGACGGUACCUAACCAGAAAGCCACGGCUAACUACGUGCCAGCAGCCGCGGUAAUACGUAGGUGGCAAGCGUUGUCCGGAAUUAUUGGGCGUAAAGCGCGCGCAGGUGGUUUAAUAAGUCUGAUGUGAAAGCCCACGGCUCAACCGUGGAGGGUCAUUGGAAACUGUUAAACUUGAGUGCAGGAGAGAAAAGUGGAAUUCCUAGUGUAGCGGUGAAAUGCGUAGAGAUUAGGAGGACACCAGUGGCGAAGGCGGCUUUUUGGCCUGUAACUGACACUGAGGCGCGAAAGCGUGGGGAGCAAACAGGAUUAGAUACCCUGGUAGUCCACGCCGUAAACGAUGAGUGCUAAGUGUUGGUCUCAUAAGAGAUCAGUGCUGCAGCUAACGCAUUAAGCACUCCGCCUGGGGAGUACGAACGCAAGGUUG
rnacentral:rRNA from 1 species